UACGUAGGUGGCAAGCGUUGUCCGGAAUUAUUGGGCGUAAAGCGCGCGCAGGCGGUCCUUUAAGUCUGAUGUGAAAGCCCACGGCUCAACCGUGGAGGGUCAUUGGAAACUGGGGGACUUGGGUGCAGGAGAGAAGAGUGGAAUUCCACGUGUAGCGGUGAAAUGCGUAGAGAUGUGGAGGAACACCAGUGGCGAAGGCGACUCUUUGGCCUGUAACUGACGCUGAGGCGCGAAAGCGUGGGGAGCAAACAGG
rnacentral:rRNA from 1 species